rnacentral:rRNA from 1 species
UACGUAGGGUGCGAGCGUUGUCCGGAAUUAUUGGGCGUAAAGAGCUUGUAGGCGGUCUGUCGCGUCUGCUGUGAAAAUCCGGGGCUCAACCCCGGACUUGCAGUGGGUACGGGCAGACUAGAGUGUGGUAGGGGAGACUGGAAUUCCUGGUGUAGCGGUGGAAUGCGCAGAUAUCAGGAGGAACACCGAUGGCGAAGGCAGGUCUCUGGGCCAUUACUGACACUGAGAAGCGAAAGCAUGGGGAGCGAACAGG